GUUCUGGAGGUGAAAGGUCAGAAAUCAAGGAGUCAGCAAGACUGUGUUCCUUCUGAAGGCUUUGGGGAGAAUCCUUCUUUGACUCUUCCAGCCUGUGGUGGCUUCUGGAAAUUCCCAGUGUACCCUGGCUUCUGACCGUGUCCCUCCAAUCUGCCCCCCAGUCACAUGGCCUUCUUCUCUGCAUGUCUUCUCUGUGCCUGCAUGUUGUCUCCUCUGGUUUGAAGCCACCCAUCACUGGCUUUAGGAACCAUCCUAAUCUGAUGACUUCACUGCAACGUAACCAGUUAUAUCUACAAAGGCCCUGUUUCUGAAUAGAUUCACGAUGUAAAGUUCUAGGAGGAUGUGAAUUUGGGGGGGGGGGGCCUACUCUUCCCAGUGUAGGAGAAAAUUAUGCCUUAUCAUAUGGGCAACAGCUUUUAUUGAAGGUUGGUGGUAGAGAGGUAGCCUUCCAUGAGUCAUGUAUAUGCUCUGGAUGCUUUGUAAAUAGUAGAUAUUGGUAACCAACGUCUUGAUUGUUGAUAAUGAAUGACUAGCAGUACCAUCUUGGCCAUAUGGUGGUUUGAGUGUGGCUGUUGCCAGUCCCACAGUGACAGGAAGGAAUGGACCCGUCUUCAUGGCCUUGUACUGACAGGUGGGUGUUUACUGCUCAGCUGUAGGAAGCCCACAAGUUUACCAUCAGGGAGGGUGAUACAAAAGAAGGAUCCCCAAAUAGCUUGUGCUCAAGAAAGUUGCAAUGCUGUGAUUCACUGAAACAUCUUGAGAUGCAUAGAGGUCAGUAAAUGAGUGGAUCAUUAGUCACAUUGAGUGUUGUUUCCAUGACAUUCGAUGACUGAAUCACAAAAUAUUCCUCCCAUUUGAUUUGGGUUAUCGUGUCUCAUCUUUAGUCAGGAGGGCAGCUGCCAUGUGCUGCACCCUCGGAGGCACCUUGAGCCGUGGAAUCGUCCUGCAGUCGGGCCCGGAAGCCACAGGGCAAGUGCUAAUGGAGCGGUCCUUGUGAGAUUCUGUGGUGCAGGAGUGCAGGUGGUUCAGCAGGGGGCAGCCACUUCAAAUGGAAGGUGGUGCUGAAGGGCAGAGGUCAUGGCUGCUUGGGUCUCACCACCCUCUGCGUGGCUUCCCAGCCACUCCUGCCUGCUGCCAAGGCUCUUCAGGUGUGACACAAUGUGUGACCCUGGAGGUGGCAGGGCUGGUGGAAAGAAGAGGGCUAGGACCGCACCAUUCAGACCCCACGCAGCCUGGGAGCCGGAGCACAGAAAGGAAAUCGUAAUAAAACAAGACAGGGCACAAAACGAGUUUAAUUGAAAGAAUAAUUUGAUCUGCUGCUGCUACAGCAGAAGAGCUUGAGAUGUGGCAAAUUUUCUCUCCUUUCCUCCAAACUCAAGAAUUUAAUGCUAGCAGGUGAAGUUCUGAAGGCUGCUAUCAAGUAUACAGAGACAAUAACUGUCUUCAAAGUGGAAUUUUGUCAAUAUUUUUUGCUGUGGGCCAAAGAACAUUCACAGUAAUGGAGUACUGAAGCUCUGCUUGGAGAUGUUGCGGCGAGCAAGGGACCGGAGGAUUUAUUCCAAGUUUGAGGCCGCAGUAACUUGGCGGUAUAUGUGGCUUCUUCAUAAUCUUCGCUCCAGCAGAUGGAGGCGCCCAGACACGGUGUCGUCGUCGGAGAGAGCAUUGGGUGGCUGUGGCCGACCCCCCCACCUGGGCCCUUAGCUCCCAGUUUCUGUUCUGACCGUCACGUGAGCCCCAUGCCUGCUCCCCACCUUCACCAGGUACCAGCAUUUUCUGACGGAUGAAGCGCGUGGCGUGGCGCAAGUGCUGGAAGUCUGCACUGUGGCUGUGACCUUGACCUCCUUUCUUGUUUUCGGAGCCACUUGGGAGGGCGGUGCGGCCUGCCGGCUCUCCUCCUCCGGGGCUGCCCAGGCCCGCUUCUCCCUGGCCGGCCGGGGCGCCGCGCCCGUGCUCCGGAGGAUGAUGCCCUUUCGCCUGGCUUCUGUGGGAAGUUGGUUGAAUAGCAGAUUGCACAACCCACAAGAUCGAAUGGCCUGUAUGACUUAAAACAGAUGUGAGGUUCAGUGCCCAGAUUGCUCUGCCCCUUAAGUUAUCUUACUCUGAAAAGAAUCAUCCUCUGAAAUUUCAUUUCGGGAAGCAACUUUUCCCUCCCGGUGUUUGUGAGAACCGGUGCCUGCAUCGUUAGGGCUGUGCUGGGAAAGCAGCUUUCUGAUACAGGGGUGAUGCCAUUUUUCUGUAAUUUUGCUAAUAUUCUCUGUAUUUAGUAUAAUUAGAGGAACAGAGGAGUAGCCACACACCCACGGAACAGUGAGACAACAGCUUUGUCCUUCUUUUGAAGUGUGAAAAAUAGGGGUAACUUUAUCAUUAAAUGUACUUGUUGCUGUGCUUAUUUGAAAUGUUUAGACUUUACAAUUUUUUUUAAGCUUCCUGUUCAUUUUAAUGGAAAAGGGUGAUAGCGAAGGAUUUUAUUUAUUCAGAGCCACGGUGCAGACAAAGUGAAAGUAAACCCGAGGCUUCCGGUUGCAUUUAAAAUCCAGAAAAAUAGAACUCUGUUUUCUAAGAUAAAAAGAUAAGGGCAGUAGUCAAAUAUGGUUUUUUUUUGGGGGGGGGGAAGAAUUUUUAAACAACAGAAACCACCUAGAACUAAUUUUUUGAGGAUAGAUAUAAAAAUAGAUGCCAGCUUACAAAAAUUUUUCUAGCCCUGAAAAAUAUGCAACCCCCCCCCAGACAGACAGGACUUCCAUCAUGCUCAUGGAGGGUCCGAAUCAUGGCUCAUCACCGUAUCAGUGGCUUUAAAUGGCUGCAUUCUUGUUCAAGUGUAAAAUUCUUACUGGGAGUCCGACUGAAUAAUUCUGCUGGCUCUUAAUGAAGCCUUUUUUUCCUUCAGAAAUAUCAUGGCAUGAAGUUUCAUGUGGAAUGUGAUAGAAGCCUGUGAACCCCUAGGUCAGUGUAGAAAAUAGUAGGUGUUUGUCUACAUGUUUCUUUUAUGCUCAUCUUCACGUGUGUAUUUCAGGCAUUAAUUCAGGAUUGUUUAGGUACUCCUUUGUCAUUACAUGUAAUUCAAAGAUUAUUUAUUAUGAUGAGAUAGGGUAAGUAAUAAUGAACUCAGAAAUGUAGAAACUAAAAAUAUCCAUUUAUUUCUAUAAAUACAGUUGACAGUUAAUUGGCCCAUAUUAAUGGAGGAUUGAAGUAAAAAAAAUUUUAAAAAC